GCUCUAAGACUUACACAGGGCACACAGCUGGUAAGUGCUGCCUCUUCCAGGCCUGUUUUUUCAACUGGACUCUUCUACUUUACCCGGUCAAAAACACAUCUAUCUGGCAAGGUGUGUACACUGAGAGAGCAACAACAUAACUGAAAAUACCUCAUGAGAGGAGAAGGUGGCACCAGUGGCUCGUCUGGAGCCAGGAUGGCUGUGCAUGCUUGGAUGGGGCAGUAGGAAUUGACCACCUCUUACUAUUUCCAAUGAAAUUCCCUGAACAAAUUUGGGAGAGGAAUACUCCAGUCUUAUAUUCUGGAGACAAAAUAUGAUACCCUGGCAGUACAAUCCUGGCUGCCAGCAAACUGGACAAUACCAGGGGAAAAUCCCACUCUUCUUCCCACUUUCUUCUUAAAAGAAAGGAAGACAUGUGUGAAGAUAUUCGUGCUGAUUCCUUGAAAAUGCUGAAUGCCAAGGAAAAUGUACUGACUCCAGAGUGAAGAGAUGAUCAUCUGCAAUGAUCAGUCCAUGAGUCCAAAAACUCAGCCAAGUGGGUGGCAUGAUUCAACGUUCAAGUAUAGUGUAGCCCACUCCAUGUGGCAUAAACACAGAGUCUAGUGCAUGGACAGUUGUUUCUGGAACAAUGUUAUUAAGUUUCUUCAAACAUUUAGAAAGUGUAUUUAUUUUAAUCACUGUAAUCAUAACAGGAAUGUGUGUAGAUGCUUAAAAUAAUACAAAUGCUACCUAUAUGAUACAAGUCACUGAGCAGUGAAAAUGGUUUCCCAGCUGCAAAUAGCCAGGGUAACAAAUAUAUUUCAUGUUGAAAAUCUGGGUCAUUUUAUACCAAGGAACAAUUUAAUGGUGACAGUAAAAAAAUUAAAUUUUAAAUAUAAGGUCUAAGGUUUAAUCCGAUUUCUGAAAAUAGUUUAUAGCACUAUCUUUAAAGUGUGAGUAUGUGUGUGCAUGUGGGUGUGUAUAAAUAUAAAUAUAAAUUUUGGAUCAGGGUAUAAGCUGCUCUGAAAAAGCAUUAAAUAGGAACAAAUAUUAGUAGUCUGAGGAUAAUUCAUAAAUUGAAUACUUAAAUUUAAAGGCUCCUGAAAGUUGUAAUUACUAAAGAUAUAGGACAAUCCAGGUCAAGACUCUGUGGGGAAGUAAGUAAGCCCCUGGGCUAGGAGUAGAGCAAGUGAAAGCACCAGAGUGCCAUGGUCUCAAGGCCACGAAGGUCAUUCAGGUGCUAGACUAAGCAUGUGUGCUCUCACCUGUGAAACUUUUCCUACUUUCUCGAGGGUGUGUUCCGUCCUGUACCUAACCAUGGCUUGUUAAAUGGUGCACAGUGCCUGGAUCCUCCCCUAACUUCUUGUAUAUGCUCUCCUCAGUUGUGUUUUCGAUGUCUGCUUAGUUACCUGACCCAAAUCAUGAUUGCUUGCUUUAUUUGGUGGGUUUACUUUGGAUUAUACUUUAAGCCCAUGAAAUCUUUAGUGAUGACUCAAGAGGACAGGUUAAUUCCUUCCCUGGGUGGUCCAAAGAUUGCAGAAUUUUUUAUUUUGUCAUUGAGGAUAAAAGGGGUAAUUUGAAUAAACAUGGAAUAAGGACAGAGUUAUAUUCUCUGGGGAAAUUUUAGCCAGAUAAAAUGCAAUACUUCUUUUCGAGUUACUUAAAUUUUCAGUUAUAUGGAAUUUGAUUUCUUCUAGGGCUCUGAUUAUUGAGCUGUGAAAAUUGAUGAAAAUAAGGUUGUUUUAUAACUUUCAGUUUCCUAACAGUGAAAAACAAUGGAAUAUUCUGCCUUCAUAUUCCUGACACUUCCCAGGAUUGGCCUCCUUUCUUGCUUUCCAUGAUAAUUCAUGUUCUUAAUCUCCCUAUCCCACUCUUCCCUGUCUCUUUUAGGAUCCUACUGCCCUCCAAAUCUGGUCAUUACCCAUGGUUCCAUUCCCUGUUCUUUCUCUUUGGUUUGUUACCCUUGCUCUCCUUAUCCUCCUUUAGCUUCUACCAUCACCCCACUAGUGAUGGCUCAAAUUUAUAUUUCCAACUCCUCCAUAAUUCCAGGCACUUAUUUCCACUGCCUGUUGAAUAUCCUUAUGUCUAUAUCCAUCUGUAUUUAAAAUUCAGCAUUUCUUUACAAACUCAACAUUGUCUCGCUAAAAUAGUCACUACCUUUUCCAGUCAUCUUUGACCACACUCUCUCCUUUAGCCCUUCUAUCUAAGUAGUUUCCACUAAUUUUCAUCUCCAUAGUGAUUCAUAUAUGUCUUCUAAUUUUUUUUGUUGUUGUUGUUCGCGGGCCUCUCACUGUUGUGGCCUCUCCCGUUGCGGAGCACAGGCUCCGGACGCGCAGGCUAAGCGGCCAUGGCUCACGGGCCCAGCCGCUCUGCGGCAUGUGGGAUCCUCCUGGACCGGGGCACGAACCUGUGUCCCCUGCAUCGGCAGGCGGACUCUCAACCACCGUGCCACCAGGGAAGCCCAAUGUCUUCUAAUUUUUAAAAUCAUCGUUGUCCUCAUUUACUAUUUGGUCACUAGUAGUCCAGUGCAUAUAGGGCACACAUGAUAAAUGCUUGCUCCUUUACCAUUAUUUAUCACCUUCAUUGCCUAUUACCUGGAUUAUUCUAGUAGAAUUUUAACUGACCUUCCUGCUACCAUUCUUUUGCUCCUCUAAUUUACACUAUAUAUAGCUGCCAGAUUACUCUUCUUCUUUUUGUUUUGUUUUUGCUUUUGGCCUUGCUGCACAGCUUGUGGCAUCUUAGUUCCCUGGCCAGGUACUGAACCCAGGCCCUUGGCAGUGAGAGCGCAGAGUUCGAACCACUGGAGCACCAGGGAAUUCCCCAGAUUACUCUUCUUAAUGCACAGGUCUGACCAAUUGCUAUUACCCAAUUAUACCAAAGCAGGCAAGGCUUUAACCAAAUGUGAUCCUACCUUUCGGCUAAAAUUCCAAAGUACUUUUAAAAUACAUUUUUAAAGGCAAUUUAAAAAUUUUUCCUUCAAUUUUUUUGAUAUAAAUGAUGAUAAAUAGAUGAGUGGACCAUAUCUUACAAUUAGAGCCAAACUCCUAGUGCCCACAGAUUGCAAAACCAGUUAACUCUCCUUCUAGAAUUAAAUCUUAACAAGGCUUCUUUCUUUCUGGGCAUACCAUGGAUAUCAUUUAUACUGGGUAAGAAUGCAAGUUGUUAAUUACUGAAUGGACUUAAGCAUUUUAACAGUCUAGAUAAUCAAUUUUUAUUCAGAUGGUAUUACUUUGCUAGAGUUACUAGCAACAAAAACAACAGUAACGUGAUUAAAUCAAACAAAAUACAUCACUGAGUUUUUGGUAAAAAAACUUGUUUUGCUAAUAGCUUUUUUUUUUCUCUUACAGAAGUAAUGCUUAUUGUAAAAGUUCUAAUAAUACAGAAGUGUAGAAAGUAAAAUGUGAAAGUUUCCUUUCUUCAACCUCACAGCCCACAGUUAAUAAUUGGACUUAUAUCUGUUAACAUUUUUUUUCUAUGUACAUACAAGCAUUUGAAAUAAGCAUUUAUAUUAUUUCUGUUACAGAACUAGGAACACCCUAGUAAACAUACUGCCUGUGCUCCACCCACAUCUCUUUGGAGCCUGUUUACCAGUUCUGGCCAUCCUCUUGCCCUGUGUGUUUGCUGGAGGCUGACCUUGGGCUACUGGAGGGGCUUUGUGGCACACAGGGAUGGAAGUGCUUGGGAUUUGAUGACCCACUAGAUCAGGGUGUAGCCAAGGACUGACCGGUGAGUGAAUAAUUUACCUCCAGAGCUCCUUCUGGUAUCAGACUGAGGUUGAGCCUUUGCCUAAAAUAACACCCUAUUUACCCAUUCCAGGACUUGCUUGCUCUACUCUCUGUAAGUUUCUGCUGGAGCCCUUCCUUAAUAUGUCAUUUGUGUGUAAAUCCUUGUGUCAGGCACUGCUGUUGAGAACCCAGCCUAAGACAAUCAGAUACAUCAAACCAAUCUUUCUCCUUUGUCAAUCAUGAGUUUUAAGCACUUUUUCUUUCAGUAAUCUUUCCUAGGCUCUCUGUUAAAUGUCUUCAUGUAGUUUAUGUACUCACUUUCAAAUGGGAAAAAAAUGCUACUGACCUAGCAUUGUUUUCCUUUGUUUUUAGAAAAGCGGUGAGAAAACUGCAAAUGUGCAUCAGCAUUCCCUCUCACACAUUAACUAAAUACUGAGCCAGGAACAGGGGUAAAGUAAACAGAGAACUGAACAAAACUGACCUAUGUGAGGGAGAAUUUGUGACUCUGUCUCCAUGUGCUUCUCUAACCAAAUGAUCUUAAGCCUUAUGUGGGGCAAUGAAAUUUCAUGCUCAGAAAUGAGGUUAAAGACUUCUUAAGACCCUUAACAUUUAAAAAAGAGAUUUUAACUUAUGAUAAUUAAGACAACAUCAAACCUAAUGUAUAGUCUUGUAACUGUUUCGUUCUCUGACUUUUACUAGAGAAACCACUAAACAAACAAAACCACUUCUUGUCAAGGUCCUUCAACUGCUUGCAAUCCAGGAGGAGGCAAGUUUAUAAAAUAAGGCAGCUAAAAAAACAACACAUGGUAGCCUAUAAUCAGAUUCACAUGGUCCACGUUGAAGACAUUUAGAGAAGCCCAUAACUAUUCUGUAGAGAAGUUAUCAGGAAAAGCUUUACUAAAAAGUUGACAUUGGAAUUGAGCCUUGAAAGUUGUAGCACUUAGGUAAUGAAAGGUCACGCAUUCCAAGUAGAAGUUCAUGGAUAAGUGCUAAGCUUAGAAUGAGCAUACUUGGUGUGCUUUGAGGAGAGAAGAGAGCAUUAAGGGAAACUCUGACCACAGCAGAAGGUAUAGACUCAGGAAUCAUGUUCAAAUGGGGUUUUAUAUAGUUGGAUAGGCAAGGUGAGGUCAGAUAAUGGAAAAUCUCAAAUGCUGGGCUGAGGAGUUUCGACUUGAUUAGAAAGGCCACAAUGACGGAGUAUAGAUUUUUAAGCAAGUAAAUGGCAUGAUAUUAGAGGUUUUAUAAAGAUUAACUUAGCUUUGGUAUAUCAGAGAGUUUAUUGUAGGGUUUAGUAUAUCAGAAUGUUUAUUACUAAAAAUUUGUUGGAGACUGCAAUUUUGUAUGAAGAUAAAGGCCUAGAUUUGAAGAAAUGACAAGGUAGGGAUAAACGCUAGAGACCAUAAAAAAAGAUGCCAGAACUUGGUAACUGACUAUUAGGGGUGGGGUAUAGAAAAGAUUAGAAGAUGAGUCUAAGGUUCAAGCUUUUGAGUACUUUGGGAAAAUGUGUGUGUGUGGGGGGGCGGGGCGGAGAAUGGAGCUGCACAUAAAGAAAGCUUAUUCAGGUGGGAGUGUGCCCUAAUUUGAUUUUUAGACACUUGGGGUUAAAGCAGAGUGUUCUGGCAGAAGUGUCCUGUUGGCAUUUUAUUUCCUGGAAAUAAAUAUGAAACUAAAGCUUGACUGAAAAAUUAGUGUUGGAGAUAUAAAAUCUGUGUUCAGUAGGGUAAAGAUGAGAAUUUAAGCUUUGGAUAGAAUUGGAUACAUUCCUAACAAUGGGAAUACAUAGAGAAAAUAGCUGAAGAUGGAAAACUGAGGCCUAUUAACCGCCCACUUAAGUUCUGCUUAGAGAUAUCAUUACAUCUGAAUGGUCAUUGGAGGUUAUAUGCUAACUUAGCAAAAGACAUAGCCUAUUUUGUUAGUUUAACACUCCAUGAAGCCAGGAAAUAUAACCUCCUUCUCCACAGUUCCCUCGUUCUGUUUUGGCUCUUUAGAAUUCCCUCAUUCCUCCUUUGGGGAAUAUGGACUAGGGAAGGCAGAGGGGAGAAGGGUAGGGGACAUCUGUAUUUACUCCUUCUCCCACGUCAUCGUCAUACUCUGUUCUCUACACUCUUGGAUCUGGAAUGAAUUCCCAUUGUAGUCGUAUAUUAAGAACUGAGGUCCCUCUAUAUUGGGUUAAUACGUGACUUCAGUGCACAUGCUCACCAACUUUUGUUUUUUGCUUUUUGUUUUUUUAAUCUGAUGACUGAAGAUAGUGCCCCUGCUUCUGCUUCACAGGGACCUAGUAAAGAUUAAGUAGAAAAACUCGGGAGCACCCAGGGGAUGCAUAUCUAUGGAUAUUUCACAGUAUACUCAGUUUAUUGUCUUUAGUUCCAGUAAAAAUAGCCUAUUGGGGAUAAGUUCAAAGUCUAUGGAAUCUGGUGUUAAUACAACGUGAAUCAAUGUUUCAAAGGAAUAUGCUUUUGAAAACCUCUCUAGAACUCAGAUGUUUUAUGAAUAUGGUAAUGAUAAUAAAGCUAAUAAUUAUAAAUAAUAAUUCUGUGUUAAAAAUGUAUCUCCGGGAUAUGGGAACAUA